CUAACCUACGGGAAGCAGCAGUAGGGAAUCUUCGGCAAUGGGGGCAACCCUGACCGAGCAACGCCGCGUGAGUGAAGAAGGUUUUCGGAUCGUAAAGCUCUGUUGUAAGUCAAGAACGGGUGUGAGAGUGGAAAGUUCACACUGUGACGGAAGCUUACCAGAAAGGGACGGCUAACUACGUGCCAGCAGCCGCGGUAAUACGUAGGUCCCGAGCGUUGUCCGGAUUUAUUUGGCGUAAAGCGAGCGCAGGCGGUUUGAUAAGGCUGAAGUUUAAGGCUGGGGCUCAACCAUAGUUCG
rnacentral:rRNA from 1 species